GUGCCAGCAGCCGCGGUAAUACGUAGGGCGCAAGCGUUAUCCGGAAUUAUUGGGCGUAAAGAGCUCGUAGGCGGUUUGUCGCGUCUGCCGUGAAAGUCCGGGGCUUAACUCCGGAUCUGCGGUGGGUACGGGCAGACUUGAGUGAUGUAGGGGAGACUGGAAUUCCUGGUGUAGCGGUGAAAUGCGCAGAUAUCAGGAGGAACACCGAUGGCGAAGGCAGGUCUCUGGGCAUUAACUGACGCUGAGGAGCGAAAGCAUGGGGAGCGAACAGGAUUAGAUACCCUGGUAGUCCAUGCCGUAAACGUUGGGCACUAGGUGUGGGGGACAUUCCACGUUUUCCGCGCCGUAGCUAACGCAUUAAGUGCCCCGCCUGGGGAGUACGGCCGCAAGGCUAAAACUCAAAGGAAUUGACGG
rnacentral:rRNA from 1 species